GACCCGACUGCUAUCGGCAUGGGAUUAAGCCAUGCGAGUUGAGCGUCUUCCAGCUGUGGAAGGCGCGGCGUACGGCUCAGUAACACGUAGUUAACCUACCUUGAAGACGCGGAUAAUCCCGGGAAACUGGGGCUAAUACGCGAUAGAUUCAAAGUUCUGGAAUGGCUUUGAAUCCAAAAGGCUGAAGGAGCAUGCUUCUUCAGUCGCUUCAAGAUGGGACUGCGGCCGAUCAGGUAGUUGGCGGGGUAAUGGCCCACCAAGCCUAUAACCGGUGCGGGCUCUGAGAGGAGGAGCCCGGAGAUGGACACUGAGACAAGGGUCCAGGCCCUACGGGGCGCAGCAGGCGCGAAACCUUCACAAUGCGCGAAAGCGCGAUGAGGCUAUACCGAGUGUCAUCCGCUGAGGGUGACUUUUCCUCGAUCUAAAACAUCGGGGGAAUAAGGGGAGGGCAAGCCUGGUGUCAGCCGCCGCGGUAAUACCAGCUCCCCGAGUGGUCGGGACGAUUAUUGGGCCUAAAGCAUCCGUAGCCGGCUUCACAGGUCUCUUGUUAAAUCCAACGGCUCAACCGUUGGACUGCAGGGGAUACUAUGGAGCUAGGGGGCGGGAGAGGCGGACGGUACUCCAUGGGUAGGGGUAAAAUCCUUUGAUCCAUGGAAGACCACCAGUGGCGAAGGCGGUCCGCUAGAACGCGCCCGACGGUGAGGGAUGAAAGCUGGGGGAGCGAACCGGAUUAGAUACCCGGGUAGUCCCAGCCGUAAACGAUGCAGGCUAGGUGAUAGAGAGGCUAUACGCCUUUCUAGUGCCGCAGGGAAGCCGAUAAGCCUGCCGCCUGGGGAGUACGGCCGCAAGACUGAAACUUAAAGGAAUUGGCGGGGGAGCACCACAAGGGGUGAAGCCUGCGGUUC
rnacentral:rRNA from 1 species